rnacentral:lncRNA from 1 species
GUAAAAUCAUAUUAUUUGCUGCAAUAAUAAUAGCUUCUUAAGUAUCUGAUAUGUGCCAGAACCUUCAAAGCAUUUACUCUUCAGAACAAACCUAAGUUGUUGUAGAACUCUUAUUACCUUUUACAGAUGAGGAAAUGACAGCAUAAAAUUAAAAGUAAUAAGCUCCCCGUUGAAUUGAUUCGAUUGAUGAUACAGAACCAUAGUAGGCAGAAUAGUAACUUCCCCCACCCAAUUAAGAUGUUCAUGGCUUAAUUCUCACAACCUGUAAAUAUGGUAUAUUCCAUCUAAAAAGGGAUUUUGCACAUGUGACUAAGUCAAGAGUCUUGAGACAGGUAGAUUAUACUAGAUUUUCCAGGUGGUUUCAGUGUAAUCACAAGAGAUUUUAUAAGAGGGAGACAGGAGAGUCAGGGUCAGAAAAGGAGAUGUGAUUAAUGACCCAGAGGUCAGAGGGACUUUAGAAUUCCCUGCCUCUCCCAACCUACAGGUUCCAAACCUUAUGAAUCUACUGUAGCUGAUCUAGAUACACUUCAGGUCUCAGCUGAGAACUCACAUCCUUCUGAAGCUUAUAAGACUUGGGCAAAAUCCAACUUGAAUCAAUUAGUGAAACAGAAUGAAUCCACCUUUUCACCACUUCAAUCAAAUGCCAGUUAGUAGCAAUUAGUACUCACUGAAGAUGAUAUACGAUCCUGAAAAUUCUAAUCAGAGAUGGCAUUUCACCAUGUUGCCUGGGUUGGUCUCAAACUCCUGAGCUGAAAGUGAUCCUCCCACCUUUGCCUCUCAGUGUUGGGAUUACAGAAAUGAGCCACCACACCUGGCCCACAGACACCUUCUAAUAUGCUUAUGUGCAUGUCCACAUUAGUGAAUGGAAGAAUGCUUUCUUCUGUCUCUAUGGAAAAAAAAUCCUGGGGAGAAAUUCAAGCUAGCUGAAGAAAUUUGCAUAAGUAAUGGGGAACCAAAUGUUAAUCACCAAGACAAUGGGGAAAAUGUCUCCAGGGCAUUUCAGAGAUCCUAGAGGCAGCUUUUCCCAUCACAGGCCUGGAGGCCUAAGAGGGAAAAAGUGGUUUCUUGGGUUAACCUUGGGAUGUGGCAUCCUGCAUCCCAGUCACUCCAGCUCCAGCCACGGAUACAAGGGCCAAGGUACAGCUCAGCCCAUUGCUUCAAAGGGUGGAAGCCCUAAACGUUGACAGCUUCCAUGUGGUGUUGAGCCUGCGAAUGCACAGAAGACAAGAGUUGAGGUUUGAGUACCUCCACCUAGAUUUCAGAGGAUAUAUGGAAAUACCUGGAUGUCUAGGCAGAAGUGUGCUGCAGGGGCAGAGCCCUCAUGGAGAACCUUUGCUAAGGCAGUGUGGAAGGGAAAUGUGUGGGUUGGAUACCCCACAGAGAGUCCCCACUGGGGCACUGCCUAAUGGAGCUGUGAGAAGAGAUCCGAUAUCCUCCAGACCCCAGAAUGGUAGAUCCACCUACAGCUUGCCCCAUGCACCUGGAAAAGCCACAGACACUCAACACCAGCCCAUAAAAGCAGCCAGGAGGGGGACUGUACGCGGCAGAGCCACAGGAUGGAGCUUUCCACAACUGUGGGAGCCCACUCCUUGCAUCGGCAUGCCCUGGAUGUGAGACAUGGAGUCAAAGGAGAUUUUGGACCUUUAAAAUUUAAUGACUGCCCAGCAGGGUUUCAGACUUGCAUGGGGCCUGUGGCCCCUUUGUUUUGGCCAGUUUCUUCCAUUUUGAAUCGGAACAUUUACCCAAUGAUUCUACCCUCACUGUGUCUUGGAAGUAACUAACACCUGCUUAUUGAUUUUACAGGCUCAUAGGUGGAAGGGACUUGUCUUUUCUCAGGUGAAACUUUGGACUUGGACUUUUGAGUUAAUGCUGGAUGAGAUAAAACUUUGGGGGCUUUUGGGAAGGCAAUGACUGGUUUUGAAAUGUCAAGACAUGAGAUUUGGGAUGUGCCAGGGGUGGAAUGAUAUGAUUUGGCUCUGUGCCCCCACCCAAAUCUCACUUCAAAUUGUAAUCCCCAUGUGAUGUGGGAGGGACCAGGUGAGAGGUGAUUGGAUCAUGGGGGUGGUUUUCCCCAUGCUGUUCUCAUGACAGUGGGGAGUUCUCAUGCGAUCCGAUGGUUUAAAAGUGAAAGUUUCCCCUGUGCUCUCUCUCUUUCCUACCACCUUGUGAAGAAGGUGCUUGCUUCCCUUUCGCAUUCUGCCAUAAUUGUAAGUUUCCUAAGGUCUUUCCAGCUAUGCUGAACUAUGAGUCAAUUAAACCUGUUUUGUUUAUAAAUUACCCAGUCUCAGGUAGUAUCUUUAUAGCAUGUGAAAAUGGAAUAAUACAAUACAUAAAUGCAUAAAUGGAGCCCUUGCAGCUUUGUGUCCAAUCUUCUUAAAUAACCAAAAUUUAGAAGUAGACAAUGAG